rnacentral:rRNA from 1 species
GAGAGUUAAACAGUACGUGAAAUUGUUGAAAGGGAAACGAUUGAAGUCAGUCAUACCAACGGGAAAUCAACCUUUCGAGUUUGUUCUUGUGGGUUUUCGAGGAGUUUAAAAGCCUUCGGAUUUGCGAGGAUUGGGCUCUUUUGGUGUACUUUCUCGUACGGUUAGUCAACAUCGGUUUUGAAUGUCAUAAAAUGACUGGAGGAAUGUGGCUUCGAUCUCGUAUCGAAGUGUUAUAACCUUUGGUAGAUGUGAUGUUUGAGACCGAGGAUUGCAACGGAUACCCUUCUGGGCUAUUCGUCUGAUCUCUGAUACGUUGCCUUGAUGUCGAAAGCUCGCUUAUGAUGUUAGGGUAUUACGGUCAAAAGGUUAGAACGGAUUAAAUUCGUUAAGGAUGUUGACGUAAUGACUUUAAACGA